GAAAGUCGGUAACACCCGAAGCCAGUGGCCUAACCCUUUGGGAGGGAGCUGUCGAAGGUGGGAUCGGCGAUUGGGACGAAGUCGUAACAAGGUAGCCGUACCGGAAGGUGCGGCUGGAUCACCUCCUUUCU
rnacentral:rRNA from 1 species